UACGUAGGGUGCAAGCGUUAAUCGGAAUUACUGGGCGUAAAGCGUGCGCAGGCGGUUUCGUAAGUCUGUCGUGAAAUCCCCGGGCUUAACCUGGGAAUGGCGAUGGAGACUGCGAGGCUAGAGUUUGGCAGAGGGGGGUAGAAUUCCACGUGUAGCAGUGAAAUGCGUAGAGAUGUGGAGGAACACCGAUGGCGAAGGCAGCCCCCUGGGUCAAGAUUGACGCUCAUGCACGAAAGCGUGGGGAGCAAACAGG
rnacentral:rRNA from 1 species